GAUGAACGCUGGCGGCGUGCCUAAUACAUGCAAGUCGAGCGAACAGAUAAGGAGCUUGCUCCUUUGAAGUUAGCGGCGGACGGGUGAGUAACACGUGGGUAACCUACCUAUAAGACUGGGAUAACUUCGGGAAACCGGAGCUAAUACCGGAUAACAUUUAGAACCGCAUGGUUCUAAAGUGAAAGAUGGUUUUGCUAUCACUUGUAGAUGGACCCGCGCCGUAUUAGCUAGUUGGUAAGGUAACGGCUUACCAAGGCGACGAUACGUAGCCGACCUGAGAGGGUGAUCGGCCACACUGGAACUGAGACACGGUCCAGACUCCUACGGGAGGCAGCAGUAGGGAAUCUUCCGCAAUGGGCGAAAGCCUGACGGAGCAACGCCGCGUGAGUGAUGAAGGGUUUCGGCUCGUAAAACUCUGUUAUUAGGGAAGAACAAAUGUGUAAGUAACUGUGCACAUCUUGACGGUACCUAAUCAGAAAGCCACGGCUAACUACGUG
rnacentral:rRNA from 1 species